UGCUGGUGGUGUGGAUCACCUACAUUACUGUUGAUUACUGCGCCGCAUACAGUUGAUGUUAUCACGCAAAUAAUGUCCUGAGUUGUGUACACGAAACGUUAAACACCAGAAAACACGAUAACACCAAAAAUUUCAAGAUUGGAAACCUCAACAGAAUACCAAACAAGUGAGCAGAUGUAUCGCGUUGCGUUGCGCCAUCUAUCGUGCAAAAUAUCAAAAAAGUUGUUGCGUUAUCACUACAAAAUGUACCACAGCUCAGUAAAGUAAAUAAUCUA